rnacentral:rRNA from 1 species
AUUGAACGCUGGCGGCAUGCUUUACACAUGCGAGUCGAACGGCAGCGCGGGCUUCGGCCUGGCGGCGAGUGGCGAACGGGUGAGGAAUACAUCGGAACGUGCCCAGUAGUGGGGGAUAGCUCGGCGAAAGCCGGAUUAAUACCGCAUACGACCUGAGGGUGAAAGCGGGGGAUCUUCGGACCUCGCGCUAUUGGAGCGGCCGAUGGCAGAUUAGCUAGUUGGUGGGGUAAAGGCCUACCAAGGCGACGAUCUGUAGCUGGUCUGAGAGGACGACCAGCCACACUGGGACUGAGACACGGCCCAGACUCCUACGGGAGGCAGCAGUGGGGAAUUUUGGACAAUGGGCGAAAGCCUGAUCCAGCAAUGCCGCGUGUGUGAUGAAGGCCUUCGGGUUGUAAAGCACUUUUGGCGGGAACGAAAAGGACUGUGCCAAUACCACGGUUCGAUGACGGUACCCGCAGAAUAAGCACCGGCUAACUACGUG